UACGUAGGGUGCGAGCGUUGUCCGGAAUUAUUGGGCGUAAAGAGCUCGUAGGCGGUGUGUCGCGUCGGCCGUGAAAACCUGCAGCUUAACUGUGGGCUUGCGGUCGAUACGGGCAUCACUGGAGUUCGGCAGGGGAGACUGGAAUUCCUGGUGUAGCGGUGAAAUGCGCAGAUAUCAGGAGGAACACCGAUGGCGAAGGCAGGUCUCUGGGCCACUACUGACGCUGAGAAGCGAAAGCAUGGGGAGCGAACAGG
rnacentral:rRNA from 1 species